AGUGAACGCUGGCGGCGUGCUUAACACAUGCAAGUCGAACGAGAACGGAUUAUAGCUUGCUAUAAUUGUCAGCUAAGUGGCGCACGGGUGAGUAAUGUAUAGGUAAUAUGCCUCUUACUAAGGGAUAACAAAUGGAAACGUUUGCUAAUACCUUAUACUCCUUAUUAACAUAAGUUAAUAAGGGAAAGAUUUAUUGGUAAGAGAUUAGCCUGUAUUGUAUCAGUUAGUUGGUGGGGUAAUGGCUUACCAAGACUAUGACACAUAACUGGUUUGAGAGGAUGAUCAGUCACACUGGAACUGAGACACGGUCCAGACUCCUACGGGAGGCAGCAGUGGGGAAUAUUGCACAAUGGACGAAAGUCUGAUGCAGCAACGCCGCGUGGAGGAUGACACAUUUCGGUGCGUAAACUCCUUUUAUACGAGAAGAUAAUGACGGUACUAUAUGAAUAAGCACCGGCUAACUCCGUGCCAGCAGCCGCGGUAACAC
rnacentral:rRNA from 1 species